AAAAAUUUAGUUAAACCAUAACAUUAGCUUGUCAAGCUAAAAUUAUUUUAAAAAUAAUUUUUA
rnacentral:tRNA from 1 species